UACGGAGGGGGCUAGCGUUGUUCGGAAUUACUGGGCGUAAAGCGCACGUAGGCGGCUUUGUAAGUUAGAGGUGAAAGCCCGGGGCUCAACUCCGGAAUUGCCUUUAAGACUGCAUCGCUAGAAUUGUGGAGAGGUAAGUGGAAUUCCGAGUGUAGAGGUGAAAUUCGUAGAUAUUCGGAAGAACACCAGUGGCGAAGGCGGCUCACUGGCCCGGUACUGACGCUGAGGUGCGAAAAGCGUGGGGAGCAAACAGG
rnacentral:rRNA from 1 species